GCAGUCGACGAACUCUGGUAUUGAUUGGUGCUUGCAUCAUGAUUUACAUUUGAGUGAGUGGCGAACUGGUGAGUAACACGUGGGAAACCUGCCCAGAAGCGGGGGAUAACACCUGGAAACAGAUGCUAAUACCGCAUAACAACUUGGACCGCAUGGUCCGAGCUUGAAAGAUGGCUUCGGCUAUCACUUUUGGAUGGUCCCACGGCGUAUUAGCUAGAUGGUGGGGUAACGGCUCACCAUGGCAAUGAUACGUAGCCGACCUGAGAGGGUAAUCGGCCACAUUGGGACUGAGACACGGCCCAAACUCCAACGGGAGGCAGCAGUAGGGAAUCUUCCACAAUGGACGAAAGUCUGAUGGAGCAACGCCGCGUGAGUGAAGAAGGGUUUCGGCUCGUAAAACUCUGUUGUUAAAGAAGAACAUAUCUGAGAGUAACUGUUCAGGUAUUGACGGUAUUUAACCAGAAAGCCACGGCUAACUACGUGCCAGCAGCCGCGGUAAUACGUAGGUGGCAAGCGUUGUCCGGAUUUAUUGGGCGUAAAGCGAGCGCAGGCGGUUUUUUAAGUCUGAUGUGAAAGCCUUCGGCUCAACCGAAGAAGUGCAUCGGAAACUGGGAAACUUGAGUGCAGAAGAGGACAGUGGAACUCCAUGUGUAGCGGUGAAAUGCGUAGAUAUAUGGAAGAACACCAGUGGCGAAGGCGGCUGUCUGGUCUGUAACUGACGCUGAGGCUCGAAAGUAUGGGUAGCAAACAGGAUUAGAUACCCUGGUAGUCCAUACCGUAAACGAUGAAUGCUAAGUGUUGGAGGGUUUCCGCCCUUCAGUGCUGCAGCUAACGCAUUAAGCAUUCCGCCUGGGGAGUACGGCCGCAAGGCUGAAACUCAAAGGAAUUGACGGGGGCCCGCACAAGCGGUGGAGCAUGUGGUUUAAUUCGAAGCUACGCGAAGAACCUUACCAGUCUUGACAUACUAUGCAAAUCUAAGAGAUUAGACGUUCCCUUCGGG
rnacentral:rRNA from 2 species